CUUAGCGGCGGACGGGUGAGUAACGCGUGGACAACCUGCCCUAUGCAGGGGGAUAACAUCCGGAAACGGGUGCUAAUACCGCAUAAGCGCACAGUACCGCAUGGUACGGUGUGAAAAGCUGAGGCGGCAUAGGAUGGGUCCGCGUUGGAUUAGGCAGUUGGCGGGGUAACGGCCCACCAAACCGACGAUCCAUAGCCGGCCUGAGAGGGUGGACGGCCACAUUGGGACUGAGACACGGCCCAGACUCCUACGGGAGGCAGCAG
rnacentral:rRNA from 1 species